rnacentral:rRNA from 1 species
AAGACCUUGCGCUUUUGGAGCGGCCGAUGUCUGAUUAGCUUGUUGGUGAGGUAAAAGCUCACCAAGGCUUCGAUCAGUAGCUGGUCUGAGAGGACGACCAGCCACACUGGGACUGAGACACGGCCCAGACUCCUACGGGAGGCAGCAGUGGGGAAUUUUGGACAAUGGGGGCAACCCUGAUCCAGCCAUGCCGCGUGAGUGAAGAAGGCCUUCGGGUUGUAAAGCUCUUUCAGCCGGAACGAAACGGUCACGGUUAAUACCUGUGACUACUGACGGUACCGGAAGAAGAAGCACCGGCUAACUACGUGCCAGCAGCCGCGGUAAUACGUAGGGUGCGAGCGUUAAUCGGAAUUACUGGGCGUAAAGCGUGCGCAGGUGGUUUUGUAAGUCAGAUGUGAAAUCCCCGGGCUUAACCUGGGAACU